GGAGGUAAAAGUCGUAACAAGGUUUCCGUAGGUGAACCUGCGGAAGGAUCAUUAUUGUAUAACCGAGGUGCGAGGGCUGUCGCUGACCCGAAAGGUCGUACACGCCCGAGUGCCCUCACACACAUCCAUCUCACCCCUAUGUGCACCACCGCGUGGGUCCCCCUUUGGCUUGUUCGGAGGGGGGCUUACGUUUUCACACAAACUUUGUAUGCAGUGUAGAAUGUAUUUUUUGUUUUUGCGAUCACGCAAUCAAUACAACUUUCAACAACGGAUCUCUUGGCUCUC
rnacentral:misc_RNA from 1 species